AGAGUUUGAUCAUGGCUCAGGAUGAACGCUGGCGGCGUGCCUAAUACAUGCAAGUCGAACGAGGUGCCUUUGUAGCAAUACGAGGGUAUCCUAGUGGCGAACGGGUGAGUAACGCGUUGGUGACCUACCCCAAAGUGUGGGAUACCAGUCCGAAAGGACUGCUAAUACCGCAUGUGGUCAUCGGGUUUAGAAACCGAUGUCGAAAGCAGCAAUGCGCUUUGGGAGGGACCUGCGUCCCAUCAGCUAGUUGGUAGGGUAACGGCCUACCAAGGCGACGACGGGUAGGGGACCUGAGAGGGUGGCCCCCCACAAUGGAACUGAAAUACGGUCCAUACACCUACGGGUGGCAGCAGUAGGGAAUAUUGCACAAUGGACGAAAGUCUGAUGCAGCAACGCCGCGUGCACGAUGAAGGUCUUCGGAUCGUAAAGUGCUUUUCUGGGAGAUGAGAAAGGACAGUAUCCCAGGAAUAAGUCUCGGCUAACUACGUGCCAGCCGCCGCGGUAAUAC
rnacentral:rRNA from 1 species